rnacentral:rRNA from 1 species
UGCAGUCGACGGUAACAGGCCCAGCAAUGGGUGCUGACGAGUGGCGCACGGGUGCGUAACACGUAUGCAACCUACCCUUUACUGGGGGAUAACCCCGCGAAAGCGGGGCUAAUACCCCAUAGUAUCCCGAUACGGCAUCGUAUCGGGAUUAAAGAUUUAUUGGUAAAGGAUGGGCAUGCGUCCCAUUAGUUAGUUGGUAAGGUAACGGCUUACCAAGGCGAUGAUGGGUAGGGGUUCUGAGAGGAUUAUCCCCCACACUGGUACUGAGACACGGACCAGACUCCUACGGGAGGCAGCAGUAAGGAAUAUUGGGCAAUGGUCGAGAGACUGACCCAGCCAUGCCGCGUGCAGGAAGACGGCCUUAUGGGUUGUAAACUGCUUUUUUAUGGGGCUAACCUUCCGUACGUGUACGGGACUGCAGGUACCAUAAGAAUAAGCAUCGGCUAACUCCGUGCCAGCAGCCGCGGUAAUACGGAGGAUGCAAGCGUUAUCCGGAAUCAUUGGGUUUAAAGGGUGCGUAGGCGGGUUAUUAAGUCAGUGGUGAAAUUACAGUGCUUAACAUUGUAGCUGCCAUUGAUACUGAUAGUCUUGAGUUUAGUUGACGUUGGCGGAAUGUGUCAUGUAGCGGUGAAAUGCAUAGAUAUGACACAGAACACCGAUAGCGAAGGCAGCUGACGAAACUAUAACUGACGCUGAUGCACGAAAGCGUGGGAUCAAACAGGAUUAGAUACCCUGGUAGUCCACGCUGUAAACGAUGAUCACUAGCUGUAUGCGAUACACAGUAUGUGGCUAAGGGAAACCGAUAAGUGAUCCACCUGGGGGAGUACGUCGGCAACGAUGAAACUCAAAGGAAUUGACGGGGGCCCGCACAAGCGGAGGAGCAUGUGGUUUAAUUCGAUGAUACGCGAGGAACCUUACCUGGGCUUGAACGUAUGGUGCAUGGUGGGUGAAAGCUCACUUUUCAGCAAUGAACUUCAUACGAGGUGCUGCAUGGUUGUCGUCAGCUCGUGCCGUGAGGGGGUUAAGGUUAAGUCCUGCAACGAGCGCAACCCCUUGUAUUUAGUUGCCAUCAAGGUUAAGCUGGGCA